UGGGGAAUUUUCCGCAAUGGGCGAAAGCCUGACGGAGCAAUACCGCGUGAGGGAGGAAAGCUUUUGGGUUGUAAACCUCUUUUCUCAAGGAAGAAGAAAGUGACGGUACUUGAGGAAUCAGCAUCGGCUAACUCCGUGCCAGCAGCCGCGGUAAUACGGAGGAUGCAAGCGUUAUCCGGAAUUAUUGGGCGUAAAGCGUCCGCAGGUGGCCGACCAAGUCUGCUGUCAAAGAACGGAGCUCAACUCCGCGCCAGCGGUGGAAACUGGGUAGCUAGAGUACGGGAGGGGUAGAGGGAAUUCCCAGUGUAGCGGUGAAAUGCGUAGAGAUUGGGAAGAACACCAGUGGCGAAGGCGCUCUACUGGGCCGUAACUGACACUCAGGGACGAAAGCUAGGGGAGCGAAAGGGAUUAGAUACCCCCGUAGUCC
rnacentral:rRNA from 1 species